GGACCCGCACAAGCGGUGGAGCAUGUGGUUUAAUUCGACGCAACGCGAAGAACCUUACCUGGGUUAAAUCAAGGGUGUAAGGCUGAGAGAUCAGUCCCCCGGGCAACCGGCGUCCUUGAAGGUGCUGCAUGGCUGUCGUCAGCUCGUGUCGUGAGAUGUUGGGUUAAGUCCCGCAACGAGCGCAACCCUUACCACUAGUUGCCAGCAUUUAGUUGGGCACUCUAGCGGAACUGCCGGUGAUAAACCGGAGGAAGGUGGGGAUGACGUCAAGUCAUCAUGGCCUCUAUGUCCAGGGCUACACACGUGCUACAAUGGCCGGUACAAAACGCUGCGAACUCGCGAGAGGGAGCCAAUCGGAAAAAGCCGGUCUCAGUUCGGAUUGGAGUCUGCAACUCGACUCCAUGAAGUUGGAAUCGCUAGUAAUCGCAGAUCAGCACGCUGCGGUGAAUACGUUCCCGGGUCUU
rnacentral:rRNA from 1 species